rnacentral:tRNA from 1 species
GGUUAUAGCUCAGUGGUAAAGCACUUCCCUUGCAUGCAUGAGGCACUGGGUUUGAUCCUCAGCACCA